rnacentral:rRNA from 1 species
CAGUAGCCGCGGUAAUACGUAGGGCGCAAGCGUUGUCCGGAAUUAUUGGGCGUAAAGAGCUCGUAGGCGGUCUGUCGCGUCUGGUGUGAAAUCCCGAGGCUCAACCUCGGGCUUGCAUCGGGUACGGGCAGACUAGAGUGCGGUAGGGGAUACUGGAAUUCCUGGUGUAGCGGUGGAAUGCGCAGAUAUCAGAAGGAACACCGAUGGCGAAGGCAGGUCUCUGGGCCGCAACUGACGCUGAGGAGCGAAAGCAUGGGGAGCGAACAGGAUUAGAUACCCCCGUAGUCCCUGUCUCUUAUAC